ACUGAUAAGUGGAUAUUAGCCCCAAACCUAGGAUACCCAAGAUAUAAGAUAUAAUAUCACUCUGGCUUAUCUACCUCUCUCAUGGUGCUCAGGCACACCUGUCUAGAGACAGUACAGCCCUCAGUGAACCGGGCUCUCCUCCAUCAAUUAACAAUCAAGAGAAUGCAACCACAGACACUAGACAUGUCCAUAGGCCAGUUGUAGAGGCGGUAAGAUUCCCUCUUUCAUGGAGUGUCAAGUUGACAAUCAAGAUUAUUCCUGACUGUGUGCGUGUGCGUGUGUGCGCGCACGUGCGCCACCUAUGUGGAUGCGAGGAAACGAAUCAAGUCCUCUGCAAGAACAGCCAGUGCUUUCAACCAUCACGCCAUCUCUUUGGAGCCAUGGACAAACUACAAAUUUUUGUAUAUUAUUCUGUCCUGCUUUUUUGUUCCUAGCUCUCAGUGUAAACAUCAAAAAGACAUCAGUGCCACGCAACAGCCUGGAAAACCUGACACCUUGACAUUUCUCCUGUCAAAUAAGCUAGUCUGCCAUUUUUUAAACACAGUCUUGAGGCUAGAGAGAUUGCUCAGUAGUUAAGAACACUUGCUGCUCUUUCGGAGGAUUCAAGUUUGAAUCCCGGCACCCCACUCACAUGGGGCAGCUCACAGCUACCUGCAAUUUCAGCUUUAGAUGAUGUGGCACCCUCUUCUGGUCUCUCCCAAAGCACUGCACACGCACAUAUGCACAGAUACAAAUAAAAUAAAUAAAUCUUUAAACUCAGCCUCCCACAAAAUUUCAAGAAGGAACAAAAUGUCCUUAAGCUCUGUGCAGUGUGCUACACAGGAUAUGAGUGCGAAAGUUUCCCUGGGAUCAUGGGAGUCCACGACAUAUCAAAAGUAAUCACUGCACCAAUGUCCGAUUUGUCAAAACAAUGAGUUUUCCUAGGGUCACUAACAGGACUAUGGGAUAGGGCUUACUUACAAGAAACAGGCAUGACUCAAAAGCAGCUCCAUCACUAGAAAGCCCACCCCACCACAGGUGAUGCCCUCACUCUGACAUUCCUGAAGUCCAAGUGCCACCCUGGAAUUCUCUAUAACGCUUGCAGGCAAGCCCACAAUCCAAAUAUCUUUCUUUGCACAGUUUGGCUGGUCAGAGUCUCCACCCAGCAAAUGUUUACCCCCUAUUUAUACUGUUCUGUUAAGGUCUUCAAGAAACUUCCAAGUUUCUAUUCCUUCUGAUUAUGUGACCUUUUGUUUACUUCCUAAGGCUCUUGAGCCUCCCUUUCCUUUCUGGAGCAAACGUUUCAAUUUUGAAGUAAUGUUGCAAUUUGGAGUAAAAUGCCACAAAACCAAUGACCUGUACUCCAACUAUCAGCACAAUGUUUUGUUUUUCUUUCCCAUCUAUGACUCAUGAGCACAGACAUUACUUCAUGGAUACAGUCAUUACCCCAUGGGCCCAGUCAUUAUCUCAUAGGCAAAGUCACUGCCUCAUAGAUAUAGUCAUUACCUCAUGAGCACAGAUAGUACUGCAUGAAUACAACCAUUAUGUCAUGACCACAGUCAUUAAUUCAUAGGCACAGUCAUUUACCUCAUGGGCACUGACAUUACCUCAUGCAUAUAGACAUUACUUCACGGACAGUUAUUACUUCAUGAGCACAGUCAUUACCGCAUAAAUAUAGACAUUACUUCAUAGACACAGUUAUUACCUCAUGAACACAGUCAUUACUUCAUGUGCACAGUCCUUACCUCAUGGGUACAGAUAUUACCUCACUAGUGAAGUCAAUCACUAUCUCAUCAGAUCCUGGACUUUUGAUCUCCUCCAUAAUUACCCAUUAAGUUCUUUGUUGGUUAUUUUUAUGAACCUGUGUGCAGAGCACCUGAGAGAGCAACUGAAAGGAAGAAAGACUUAUUUUGCUCGCAGAUUCAGAGCAAAUGCUCUGAAUCCAUGACGGCUCAUCCCCAUCCACCUGAUAUUUUGCAUCAUGGUGAGAGGAGCCUAUGGUAAGGGGUUCUUUACCUUGCAUGGACAGAAGCAAAAAGAGAUUAAAACAAAAAAAGGAACAGUGGACAAGAUUCCCCCCCCACCAAUGAUCUGUCCCUAAUGGUCUAUGUCUUCCAACUACACUCCACCUCCUGAAGUUUCCAGAACCUCCAAAAUAGUGUCACCAGCAGGGCACUUGCCAGAGGCAGGUUUAGUAUAUGUUGUUUAAUUGUACAGCAAUAAUUUUCUCUAAAUCAAAACAUUCCCUCUGGAAAGUUGGGGUGUAGGAGUCUGAGAAGGUGGAGAAGGUCAAGACUUCCAAAGCCCUUUCCAGGUUACAGAAGCAGGAAACACUGCUGUGGUAGAUACUGGCCAGCCUGGCACCUGGAGAGCACUCUCUAACCUGCGAGCUGCCCACAAUCAUGCAGGGAGGUCCUGUGUCACCAUCCUGCUUUUGGGUCCUCCCUGCUUCCAUAACCCUCAUCCAUAUCUGUCACUAACUCCAAUAAACUCACCAAUUCCCCAAGGUGGAUGUUGGUAAGAAUGAUCACUUGAAUCUCACCUAUUUUCCUCAUCUGGACUUAGCAGACUGUGUGGUGUCUCCCAGGAAAAAGUCUCUCACAAUACUCAGACCACUUGCUGUGGACUUGUUUCCUUCAGCUUGGAACACUCCCUCUUUCAGAAGGGAAGGUCACAAGACUCAGGAAGCCUACUAAAUUAAUAAGACUAACAAGCACACUCCCUAAGGGAUAUCAUUAGUAAACAGUUGCAGGAUUGGGGGAAGGAGAACACUCUUUGGUGGAGCUGCCUGCAUGUUGAGUAGGAAGCUAUAGGGAUAUAUUGCUUUCAUGAGUUGUCACCCCAUGCUGGGGUUGACUUUUUAGUGGUGCAACUGCCUGAAUCACCUCCUGUGUGGAACCCCAACAAACACCAUAGCUCAUCAAGAAAGAUUGAGUGAAGUUGUUUCAUUACCCUGUCCUGGGUGCCUUAUCCCAGAUGUGUCUCCCCAAGAAAAGUCACUCGACACCGUGAUGUGCACCUUGACUUUGGAAUGUGGAUUUUCUCAUCCUGGGAGCAGUCCCAGCAUUCGUGUCUAUUUUUAUAUGGCAUUUUCCCCUCUAAGCCUAAAGUGGUGUCAUUUUCAACUUCUCCUGGUAGUCAUGGCAACUAUAGCUGCCCAUAAGAGUAGUAGCCAAAUCAAAGGGGAUGCUGUCAGAGCUGUCAGAACUCCUGAAGGAAGGUCCGGAGAUCUUCUCCUGGGACUCCAGCUAUGACUCUCUACCCCAGUAAAAUAUGAUCUUGGGAUAUACUUCAGUAUAUACGAAAAGAGGUUUUAAAUCAGGACUUCGUGGUGCAGCUUCCAUAAGGCUAUCACCCAUGAUGGGUGGGACCUUACAAUGAUACAGCCAUUUGAGGUUACCCAUGAUCCCAUUAAUAGCCCCUCACCUGUUCUCUGAAAAAAAAUAAAAACUCUUAAGAAGCCCAUAGUUCUCAGCAAGCUGAACACGGAUGGACAUGCUGUUUUGGUGCCCACCUGGGAUAAAUAGACUUGUUCACAUCUCCCAGGAGAGUUAACAAGACACCAUGUGGUCUCUGGUUCUUCCUGUGAGGGAGGACAACCACAUCUGCGGAACUUGGCCUUGGCAGACCCCAAGGCAGCAAAGGUGACCUCUAAGUCUCCAUCAGGGUGACCACUCUCACUUGUCCUCUGCUGACAUCAGGCUCUGGCAGAAUCUCUAUGGCCCUCUGUACACCUGGCACUGUGCCACUUAAAAGAAAGCAAAUGUCUCCAAAUCACACAGAGGGAAAACCAGAUGGAAGUCUAUGCUCAAAGUGUGCUGUGGAGGAUGGGUUCUGAGAAGGCUUCCAAAAGAGGAAGUGAGAGGCUAGAUCAUAUCUAGAUUGAGCAACAUAACUCACUGGUACAUCUCAGUGGAGAAGCCAGACAUAAGAGGAAGACGCUGAAGAAUGGGGAGUUAGGAAAUCAGCCCUCAGAGCUCCCCUGGACCGUCUAUGCCCCUGGGUGUGUCUGGGCCCAGCUGCCUCUCCCUGCCUGGAUAGGUGGCCAUCAUGUGGGGGCGGAGCCAAUUUGAAGCAGAGCAAGACUGCACUGUCAGAGUCACAAAGAGUGCCCAGGAUCCUCACACAGCCUGUAAGCAGUCUGGACCAGAAUCCCGAGUGUCAACAGAAGAACAAACUGAAACUCAGAGAGGGCAAGCAUCUAAGCCAAGUUGCACAGCCCAAAACAAUCUUAGGUUUGUCAGACCCUAAAGCCCAAAGCUUUUUCCCUCUACAAUGUUGUCUCACCCUACUGAGAACAGUUCCCUCUCAAGAGAGGGGCAUUGACAGUGCUGGGAUCUCAAGGCAUGAGGUGGUUCCAUACCAGAAGCACCCUGAAACAUUGUUAAUGGCCAUCUGUUUUUCCUCCUAUACCCAGUAUACUCUUCCCAGCAGACUGCCUAUUCACUUCCUGGCCUCCUGAGAUUGCUCUGUAGGUAUUGAAGAGCUGGCUCCAAAUACAGCUGCUGAGAAAGAAGAUGAGUAAGAGAUAACUCCCUCUACAUCCUCAGUGCCUCCUCCAGCCAGACAGCCAGGAUGUCAGGUGGCUAGAGCCCUCAAUAGAGUCACAGUGUCCUAUGCCUGUCAUCCAAACACUUGAGAGGCUGAGAAAAGAAUGUAGUUCAAGGCCCACUUGGGCUACAGUGAAAGCCUCCACCAUCAUUCCAACUCUCUUCUGGCCUCCUUGAGUACCCACACUCACAUGUACAUAUCCACACAAAGACACGAACAUACAUACACACAAUUUAAAAUAAAAAUCAUGGUGAUUCAUAUCUUAGUCACUGUUCUAUUGCUGUGAAGAGACACCAUGGCCAAGACAAUUCUUAGAAAAGAAAUCAUUUAAUUGGGGCUGGCUUACAGUUUCAGAGGUUCAGUCCAUUGUCAUCAUGGUGGAAACAUGGCAGCACACAUAGCAGUGGAGCAAUAGCUGAGAGCUUUACAUCCUGGCCCACAGAUAGGCAAGCAGAGAGAGAAUGGACCUAGCAUGGGCUUUUGAAACCUCAAAGCCUCCGUGACAGACUUCCUCCAACAAGGACAAACUCCCUAAUGAUGACAAUACUUUCAAACAGUUCCACUUCUGGGGGUCUGUGAUGGCUAUUUCUGGUUGUCAACUUGACUAUAUCUGGAACUACAAUCCAGAAAUGGAGGGUACAUCUAUGAUCCAAAUCUUGAGACAUAGUGGCCAUGAAAAGUGUAGGCCCAGGCAAAGUGGCACAUGCCUUUAAACCCAGGAGACAGAGGCAAGCAGAUCUCUGAGUUCAAGGCCAUUCUGGGACAGAGCAAGUCCCAAGUAAAGAACAGCUUAGGUCCAGGCAUCGUGGUACACACCUUUAAUCUGAGACAUACCUUCUUCAGGAGGCCUGCAUAAGGACAAUGGGAAAAAGUAAGGGUUCCUUUUUCUUUGCCUGCCUGCACUUACUUGCCAGCGCAUCUGCUGGAACCUACUUCUUCAGGAGUCCAGCCUAUACAGAAGACCGGCCUACACACAUAGCCUUGUGGGACUGAGCAACUACUAGACUCUUGGACUUCCCAUUCACAGUUGCCCAUUGUUGGGGUUGUUGUAUUAUGCCAGGAAAUGUUCGUGAACCCCCAAAAGACCACCAAGGAGCCAUAUCCAAUGCAAUCGCGUUAGGAUUUCUUUAUUAAAGUUUGAGCUUGGGCCAUACCACUGUCUCUGAUGCAGGAGAAUGGGAGGAAAACCUCUAUCCCAGUUUCAGGCAAGCAUUUAUAGAGGCAAGAAAGGGGUACACAUCUGAUGAGGAGACAAUUAUGGCCUUUAAAACAAUUGGCUGCUAUUGGGAACCAAACCAUACAUUUUGUUUUCCUCCUGAGUGGUAAUUGUUAGGAAGUGAAAUGAACCUCCAGUUGUAAUCUGGAGGUGUAUAUUUGUUGGGGGUAACCUGGAAACUGGUGCUAGGUGCCAGCUUGUUAGUUAACUUAAGUUCAACCUUAGGUCAGGUUCUCUAAGAUGGAGUCUAAACCCAAAAGAUUUGGUCUCUCACUCCCUCCUUUCUCUAGUAACAAGAAGGCCCAAUCAUGGGACUUCCUGAAGUUAUUAUUAUAUUUUAGAAGGAGUCAGUGUUGUCAUCACUCAGCCCUCGUGGUGUCCCUGGGGCUUGGGUAGGGGUUCCAUCAGUGGGAUACAGGAGGGAGUCCUGAGGCUGAAUUUUCCUCCUGCUGGUCAGGGUCAUCUUCAACUGCAAAUGGGUCUGUGAUUUCAAGCUGCAAUCUUGUGACCUUUAGGGCAGUGGAGCAAGGGACGGGGGUGGGGAGGACCUGUUUUAUAGAGAACAUGGAGUCUAGACCAAACAUGUUUAUGAGCCCAUUGGACACCUUUGAGAUUGUCUAGCAAUUAGUGGUCCUCAAACUCAGUGAUGAUUUCUGCCUGUAUGUUAAGAAUAAUGGGGGGGGGGUGUUGUUCCAAAACAUGAUUUUUAAAAAAGAUUUAUUUAUUUAUUAUAUGUAAGUACAGUGUAGCUGUCUUCAGACACUCCAGAAAAGGGUGUCAGACCUCAUUGCAGAUGGUUGUGAGCCACCAUGUGGUUGCUGGGAUUUGAACUUAGGACCUUCGGAAGAGCAGUCAGUGCUCUUAACCACUGAGCCAUCUCUCCAGCGCUUCAAACAUGAUUUUAAAAGGAGUGAAUCCCAUCUAGGAAGGUGAGUUUUAUAACUGGUAGAGAGCAAAAGGAAGAAGAUUUACUCAGUUGUUGUCAGUCUCUUAGGUCAAUUUAGUUAAGGUCUCUUUUAGGGUUCUGCUCAUUCUCUCUACUUGUCCUGAACUCUGGGUUACAAUAAAGUUUCCAAUUAAUCCCCAGAAUAGUGGCUAAUCCCUGAUUUACCUGGGGCACAAAAACUGGUCCAUUGUCUGACUCUAUCAUCUGAGGAAGCCCAUAUCUCAGUAAUAUAUCCUCUAAGAGCUUCUUUGUCACCGUGGUUGUAGUUUUAUUCUUGGUGGGGAAAGCCUCAGUCCAACCUGAAAAGGUAUCUAUAAGCAUCAGUAAAUAUUUAUAUCUAAAUUUUCUGGUUUUACCUCUGUAAAGUCUGCCUUUCAGUAGACUCUGAGCUUUGUGUCUCUGAACCUAUUAAUGGGGUUCUUUUUAGCUGGCAGGCUUUAUAGUUCUUGACAAUCUAUAGUUCUUAGCUAUCUUUGAGUUGGCAUCACUAAUCCUGAUAUUAUCAUGUCGUAUCAAAUCCUGCAUUCUCCGGAUGCCCAUGUGGGAAGAGCAGUGGAUCUUCUGAAGUACAGGCAGUCUCAUUUCUCCUGGCACACUGAGUUUGUAACAAGAAGAAGGAAGACUAGCCGGGCGUGGUGGUACAUGCCUUUAAUCCCAGCACUCGGGAGGCAGAGGCAAUUCUGAGUUCAAGGCCAGACUGGUCUACAAAGUGAGUUCCAGGACAACCAGGGCUAUCCAGAGAAACCCUGUCUCGAAAAACAAAAAAGAAGAAGAAGAAGAAGAAGAAGAAGAAGAAGAAGAAGAAGAAGAAGAAGAAGAAGAAGAAGAAGAAGAAGAAGAAGAAGAAGAAGAAGAAGAAGAAAGACCAAAUACUCACAGGAGGAAAUAUGGAGACAAAGUGUGGAGCAGAGACUGAAGGAAAAGCCAUCCAGAGACUGCCCCCACCUGGGGAUCCAUCCCAUAUACAGCGACCAAACCCAUAUACAGACACUAUUGUGGAUGCCAGGAAGUGCUUGCUCCUGGAAGCCUGAUAUGACUGUCUCCUGAGAGGCUCUGCCAGAGCUUGACAAAUACAGAGGCAGAUGCUCACAGCUAAUCAUUGGACUGAGCUCAGGGUUCCCCGAUGUAGGAGUUGGAGAAGGAACUGAAAGAGCUGAGUGGUGUUGCAGCCCCAUGGGGGGGGGGCGGGGGGGGAACAAUGUCAACAGGCCAGAUCCCCCAAAGAUCCCAGGGACUGGACCACCAACCAAAGAAUACACAUGGAGGGACCUAUGACACUGGCCACAUAUGUGGCAGAGGAUGGCCUUGUUGGACAUUGCCAGGAGCCAUGGCCUCAAACGUGGCCUUGUGAAAAAAUUAUAGCUUACAUAAACAGCCCUGAGAGAACAUUUGUGGUCAAAACAGAAAGAAUAUUUGUGGUUGAAGAGGGCACUAUGACUGAUGAUUCGAGAAACUGAAGGCCAUCUGACCUUCGGAGAGCCCCCAGGCUCUUUCCCCCCUCCCUUGAAGCUUCCUCUUGCUUUUGCUUAUAUUGCCACCCCUGAGUAAAGUUUUUCAUAGCUUCAUCA